AUUGAACGCUGGCGGUAUGCUUAACACAUGCAAGUCGAACGGCAGCAUGGUCUAGCUUGCUAGACUGAUGGCGAGUGGCGGACGGGUGAGUAACGCGUAGGAAUCUGCCUUGAAGAGUGGGACAACUUGGGGAAACUCAAGCUAAUACCGCAUGUACUCGAGAGAGUAAAGCUGGGGACCUUUAGGCCUGGCGCUUUAAGAUUAGCCUGCGUCCGAUUAGCUAGUUGGUAGGGUAAAGGCCUACCAAGGCGACGAUCGGUAGCUGGUCUGAGAGGAUGAUCAGCAAAACGGGAACUGAGAGACGGUCCAGAGUCCGACGGGAGGCAGCAGUGGAGAAUAUUGGACAAUGGGAGGAACCCUGAUCCAGCAAUGCCGCGUGUGUGAAGAAGGCCUGAGGGGUGUAAAGCACUUUCAGUGGGGGGGAGGUUUGGAAGGUUAAUAGCUAUUCAAAUGGACGUUACCCACAGAAGAAGCACCGGCUAACUCCGUGCCAGCCGCCGCGGUAA
rnacentral:rRNA from 1 species